rnacentral:ncRNA from 1 species
CACUAAGGAACGCAGGCUAAGUACGCCACGUCCUGUGGCAGCGCCUGCAUGGCCCACUUCCUGUGGG